CCUCGGUUCCUGGCUGUAAGGUCCGAACGAACCUGCCAGAACUCAGUCUCCCCUGAAUCCAGUGUUCAGGGUCAUGGCGUCCCAGAUCCUCCUGCUGCUGCUCUCGGGGGCCCUGGCCCUGACCCGAGCAGGCUCCCACUCCCUGCGGUAUUUCUACACCGCCGUGUCCCGGCCCGGCCGCGGGGAGCCCCGCUUCAUCUCCGUCGGCUACGUGGACGACACGCAGUUCGUGCGGUUCGACAGCGACGCCGCGAAUCCGAGAGAGGAGCCGCGGGCGCCGUGGAUCGAGCGGGAGGGGCCGGAGUAUUGGGACGAGCAGACACGGAGAGUCCAGGGCGCCGCAGAGACUUUCCGAGUGAACCUGCGGACCGCGCUCCGCUACUACAACCAGAGCGACGCCGGGUCUCACACCAACCCGGAGAUGUUUGGCUGCGAAGUGGGGUCCUACCGGCGCUUCCUCCGGGGGUACUAUCAGCUCGCCUACAAUGCCGCCGAUUACAUCACCCUCAAUGUGGACCUGCGCUCCUGGACAGCGGCAGACAGUGCUGUUCAGAUCACCCGGUGCAAGUGGGAGGCGGCCAGUGUGGCGGAGCACGUCAGGACCUACCUGGAGGGUGAGAGUGUGGAGUUGCUCUGCAGAUGCCUGGAGAAAGGGAAGGAGACGCUGCAGCUAGCAGAUCCCCCAGAGACAUAUGCGACCCACCACCCCAUCUCUGACCGUGAGGUCACGCUGAGGUGCUGGGCCCUGUGGAGAUCACACUGACCUGGCAGCAGGACAGGGAGGACCAGACCCAGGACACAGAGCUUGUGGAGACCAGGCCUUCGGGGAGCAGGACCUUCCAGAAUCGGGCCACCAUGGUGGUGCCCUCUGGAGAGGAGCAGAGAUACACGUGCCAUAUGCAGCACGAGGGGCUGCUGGAGCCCCUCACCCUGAGAUGGAAGCCACCUCAGCCCACCACUUCCAUCAUGGGAAUUAUUGCUGGCCUGGUUCUCCUUGGAGUUGUGGUCACUGGAGUUGUGAUCUGGAUGAAGAAGAGCUCAGUCAGAGAAGGGGAUAGGGUCUGAGUUUCUUAUCCCACUGGUGGGUUUCAAGCCCCAGAUGGAAAAAGAGGUGUCUUAGUCAUCUAGUGCUGCUAUAACAGAAAGACCACA